UACGGAGGAUGCGAGCGUUAUCCGGAUUUAUUGGGUUUAAAGGGUGCGUAGGCGGACUGUCAAGUCAGCGGUAAAAUUGAGAGGCUCAACCUCUUCCCGCUGUUGAAACUGGUGGUCUUGAGUGGAUGAGAAGUACGCGGAAUGCGUGGUGUAGCGGUGAAAUGCAUAGAUAUCACGCAGAACUCCGAUUGCGAAGGCAGCGUACCGGCAUCCAACUGACGCUGAGGCACGAAAGCGUGGGGAUCAAACAGG
rnacentral:rRNA from 1 species